rnacentral:rRNA from 1 species
UACGAAGGGGGCUAGCGUUGCUCGGAAUUACUGGGCGUAAAGCGCACGUAGGCGGUCUUUUAAGUCGGGGGUGAAAUCCUGGAGCUCAACUCCAGAACUGCCUUCGAUACUGGAAGACUUGAGUCCGGGAGAGGUGAGUGGAACUGCGAGUGUAGAGGUGAAAUUCGUAGAUAUUCGCAAGAACACCAGUGGCGAAGGCGGCUCACUGGCCCGGUACUGACGCUGAGGAGCGAAAGCUAGGGGAGCAAACGGGG